rnacentral:rRNA from 1 species
AGUGAACGCUGGCGGUAGGCCUAACACAUGCAAGUCGAACGGCAGCACAGGAGAGCUUGCUCUCUGGGUGGCGAGUGGCGGACGGGUGAGGAAUACAUCGGAAUCUACUUUUUCGUGGGGGAUAACGUAGGGAAACUUACGCUAAUACCGCAUACGACCUACGGGUGAAGGCAGGGGACCUUCGGGCCUUGCGCGAUUGAAUGAGCCGAUGUCGGAUUAGCUAGUUGGCGGGGUAAAGGCCCACCAAGGCGACGAUCCGUAGCUGGUCUGAGAGGAUGAUCAGCCACACUGGAACUGAGACACGGUCCAGACUCCUACGGGAGGCAGCAGUGGGGAAUAUUGGACAAUGGGCGCAAGCCUGAUCCAGCCAUACCGCGUGGGUGAAGAAGGCCUUCGGGUUGUAAAGCCCUUUUGUUGGGAAAGAAAUCCAGCUGGCUAAUACCCGGUUGGGAUGACGGUACCCAAAGAAUAAGCACCGGCUAACUUCUUGCCAGCCGCCGCAGAAA